CUCUACGCACUAGAAAGCAGUGGAAAACACUAGAUUGCAUCAGAUAUUGAAGAGGAACUAAUAGCACCAUGCAGUAGAUAGGAUUUCAGUGAGACCUUGUUAAGAGCUGCCUGUUUAGAGGCAGCAGCUUUGAAAGUGGGAAGCCAAUGGCGUUCUAGAUUCCACUGUCCUCCAGCAAUGUUGGUCCAUGCUGAUAGGAGCAAUGAGCUUUGACACUACUAUUCCACUCCGCGCAGGUUUGCGGGGAUAGGUUUCCAUGGAAGAGACAGGCUGUGCAUAGCUUCUUAUGCCCUUCAGAAGCGUCUCUAAAAGCAUGUCUCAGAGUCACUCUGAGGCACAAUGCUCACAGCAGAUGUAAUAUGGUUAGGAUUUCAUCUUUUUUGAUAGGCCAGUGGUUUCAUGUAUCUAUUUUUAACUUGGUGUCUACUAUUAGCUUGUAGUCUUACUGGCACUAAAUGUGACCCAGGGAGAAAAGAAGGAAAAGGUGUAGCCUCAGAGAGCAUGCUGCAGAGGAACCAUAUACUGCAAUAAUGAUAGCUGACAUUCAGGCUGCUCUUUAAAUCAUAAAGGUCAGUUCCCCCUUUACUCCUGGGCUCUCAGAAGGAACAUUGAUUGCCUAGGCGCUGCUAUCCUUACAGUGAGGACGGUGGAGCUGGAGACGAGAAGGGAUUUUCCUGGGACCACAUUCCAGGGAGUCUAACACGGUGGGGCCAGCUGACUCUGAGGGCGGGUGGCUACCAUCCAAUGUCUGUGCAAAGGCACGUGUCCCAGCUUCAGGAAUGGUCUAGCUGGAAAGGGGUCCUCACAGAUGAUGCUAUAGGGAAGAUGCAGGGACCAGUACUUAUUAAAGAUGGUCCAGGGAGCACCUGCUGUGGGGAGAAGAACAGGAAAUGACAAGGAAGGACAAGGACAAUACUGAAACUUGCCAAGUGAUUCACAGGAAGAAGACAGACAUUGUGAAGCAGAAAACCGUUGUUGGGAAUGAUGGGAGAGACUGAAAGAAUGCAUUUGUUGGAUCCAUCACUGAAAGUUGUUCCUGAGGCAAUGCUAAUCUGCUUUAGUCAAGAUAACCCAUCUGAAGCUGGUCAUAGUGGUGCAUACCUGUAAUUCCUACGAGAAGGACUGAGGGUGAGGAUCACAAGCUCAAGGCCAGCUGGGGCUGCACAGAAUGACUCUGACUUAAAAAAAAGGACUGAAAAAAUAGAGAGAGGCACAGGAGAGCUGUGUGGAGUGGCUGUCAUCUACCGUGCAUGAAAUCAAGGGGGACGAGAGGACAGCUUUCCCUCUGCCUCGAAUCCCGGCACCGUCUUCGAGCAUCUGUGGCAUGUGUCAUCUUGUACCCAUUUGGUUACUCUGUCGCAUCCUGGCAUGGACUGUUACAGCUAUUUUGCUUGGAUAUUGCUUUUCUCUCCAACUACAUUUAUUCCAAAGGCUUUCAUCUGUAUCAGUAAAUAAAGUUUGGUUUAAUUUA